rnacentral:rRNA from 1 species
UUUUAUGGUAAACACUCUGGGCACACCCAACCCUGUCUGAUCUCAAAAGCUCAGCAGGGUUGGGCCUGGUUGGUCUUUAGCUGGGAGAUUGUCUGGGACUUCCAGGUGCAAUAGGUG